UGUGGUGUUCGGGAGGGUCCAUUAUCCCGAGGUCACGCGGCGCGUCCAAGUCCUUCUUGAACGGGGCCACAGCCCAUAGAGGGUGCCAGGCCCGUAGUGACCGCCGCCGAUCGCGGGAGGAUCUCUCCUUAGAGUCGGGUUGCUUGAGAGUGCAGCCCUAAGUGGGUGGUAAACUCCAUCUAAGGCUAAAUAUGACCACGAGACCGAUAGCGAACAAGUACCGUGAGGGAAAGUUGAAAAGCACUUUGAAGAGAGAGUUCAAGAGUACGUGAAACCGUUUAGGGGUAAACCUGAGAAACCCGAAAGGUCGAAGGGAGAAAUUCAUUCGCGUUUCGCGACAGGCGUUGGGCGGUUGAGUGACGGGGUGGCGUUCGCGCCAAACCGCGCCUUCCGUUCUUCGAUCCGGUUACGAACGCGUGCACUUUUCUCCCGGUAGGACGUCGCGAUCCGUUGAGUGUCGGUCUAAGGUUUGCGGUGGAGCCCGUUCGUACCACGUGUGCGGGCGGACCCGCGUAACCCGGCCGGCUCGCUCGACGGUAUACGAAAGGUCGAAGGCCGCUCUUGGAGCGUCCGAUUCGUGGCAAGCGCGCCAGAUGUGUCGGCGAUCGGACCUAGUGCCGAUUCUGACCUCUGGCGACUGUUGGCCGCGAUUUUCUCGGACAGACCCGCAGACCGAUCAGCGACGCUAUAGCUUUGGGUACUUUCAGGACCCGUCUUGAAACACGGACCAAGGAGUCUAGCAUGUGCGCGAGUCAUUGGGAAUCACUAAACCUAAAGGCGCAAUGAAAGUAAAGGUCUUCCUCGCGAAGACCGAGGGAGGACGGGUGGUUUACCCUUAAAAGUGGCCGCCCCGCACUCCCGGGGCGUCUCAUUCUUAUUGCAAGAAGAGGCGCACCAUGAGCGUACACGCUGGGACCCGAAAGAUGGUG
rnacentral:rRNA from 1 species